CCUACGGGAGGCUGCAGUGGGGGAUAUUGCACAAUGGGGGGAACCCUGAUGCAGCGACGCCGCGUGGGUGAAGGAGCGUUUCGGCGCGUAAAGCCCUAUCCGCAGGGAAGAAGAUGACGGUACCUGCCCAAGAAUCCCCGGCUAACUACGUGCCAGCAGCCGCGGUAAUACGUCGGGGGCAAGCGUUAUCCGGCUUUACUGGGGGUAAAGGGGGCGCCGACGGAUAGGCAAGCCAGGAGUGAAAGCCCGGGGCCCAACCCCGGAACUGCUCUUGAAAAUGCAUGGCUGGAGUACAGGAGGGGCAGGCGGAAUUCCUAGUGUAGCGGUGAAAUGCGUAGAUAUUAGGAGGAACACCGGUGGCGAAGGCGGCCUGCUGGACUGUGACUGACGUUGAGGCCCGAAGGCGUGGGGAGCAAACAGGAUUAGAUACCCGAGUAGUC
rnacentral:rRNA from 1 species